CACGUAGGUGGCAAGCGUUGUCCGGAUUUACUGGGCGUAAAGAGCGCGCAGGCGGUCGUUCAAGUCGCGUGUGAAAGCCCCCGGCUCAACUGGGGAGGGUCACGCGAUACUGAUCGACUCGAAGGCAGGAGAGGGAAGUGGAAUUCCCGGUGUAGUGGUGAAAUGCGUAGAUAUCGGGAGGAACACCAGUGGCGAAGGCGACUUCCUGGCCUGUUCUUGACGCUGAGGCGCGAAAGCUAGGGGAGCAAACGGG
rnacentral:rRNA from 1 species